UAUGUGUGUAAUGUGUCAUGUUAUUUUUUACCUUUAUAAUUCAGUGACGGUGAGGAAGGCAGAAUUAUCAUGGACUUUUUGUUGUAGACUAUAUAGACAAAUCCUUUUCUCAGCAUUUGCAUGAAUGCAGUCUAACUUCUUGGAGGUCAAUGGUGUUACUCUGGAUUUACAUGAUAUAACAGAGACUGAAUUUACUCCAUAUGCUUCAGAAGUGAACAUCUGAAAGCUGCUUCACCGUCCCAUGUUGGAUAACGUACUUGCCUAACCCCGCCCCAUCUUCACCGCAAUUGCAUCUUCAUAACUUCUAAAUGUUGGGAGUUACGUUCAUGUGUGAAAUAGGGAGAGGAACAUGCGGUUAACAGUGUAGAUCACAGACUUCAUUCACGUGCUUCACUUCACACUUACAUAAAUAUUUUAUUUACGAAUUAGUCUUUUUGUCUGCAUGAAAUCAGACUACUUUUGAGCCAAAUCCUACAGCCCUGACUCAAGCAAAAUUUUUGUCAACUUCAAUAGGAUUGUUGCCUGACUAAGGACUACAAGAGGGUGUUCUUUAUGAGUAUUAUAUGAGAGUUAAACAAGAAUCAGGAUGUGAGAUAGUAGCUUGAUGCUGUCGUUCUUGAUGUGCCAACCUUUGAAACUUCCUGAAAUUAUCCAGACCAUUCAGAUCCAUGAAAUGAGCUUUUUUUUUUUUUUUUUUGAAAGUGACAGUGCUCUUCUGUUUUCCUUUUGAAAUGUUGCCUGGCCUAGUUCAACAGAAACAUUUUUACAUUACAACUGUGAAAUCUUGGCAUAAAGCACCCCUUUGUGCCCUUCAUUAUUUUCUCACAAAUAUAGUCCAUUGUCACAUAGCUGAAGUUAAUUUGAUCAACAUUGGGACAUUUAACUUUUAUGUCCGGUCAAAGGAGCUGUUUCAUGCUCAUUUUGGGUAUUCAAAAGAAAUGAUUGCCAGAAAAAUAAUGUUACUAUUAACAAUUCAGAGCAAUUAGUUUCCCAGGGAGAGGCGAUGUGAUGCACAGGCUUCACACAACUAUUCUUUGUCAUUUUAUGGAUGCUCAUCAGUCAACUGUCACAUCUUCUCAAAGACCCCUCCAAUCUAAAUGUUUCUCUUUGGGCUUUUCCCAGAACUAGCAGCUGAAUGAGGAAAAGAAAAGCCACUUCGUUUCUAGGCAAAGGAAAACUUCAUUCUAAAGAUCUGGGUCAUUUGAGAAAAUUCUAGGAGUAGCCCACAUCAUUUUCCCCAGUUUUAUUUCAUCCUUCUUGAUUUACAAUGCUUACUUUAACAAGAAAAUAUUCCAACUGCAACCAUGGCAUUUUCAAGUUUAUAAUGAAAUUUGUGAUGUGCCCAAAUAGAAUGUAGUCCCAAGGCAAAUAAGCCUUCCGUUCAAAUAUCUUCUAACCAGGGUUUAACAUCCAAUGUCACAUUCAGAAAAGGCAACUUUUCAUUAAACACAUUGGGUCCAUCUCAUUAAUAUUCAGUCUCUUCUCCCUUCUGCUCUUUAAACUAGGGUUAAGUGCUCUCAAAAUUAGUGUGUUUGUAUAAUAUGUUCCACAAAGAAUAAAUCCAGCAAAAUUAUCAUGUUACUUUCAACCUGUCAGAUAAAGUCAAAGGCUGGGGGCUUUUUCCUCUUGUUUUCCCACUGGCUCAGCCUUUUACAUGUCUGACAGCAUCAGACAGAAAAUUAACUAAUGAGUAUUGCUUAGAUAACAUGCACACAUGGUUUUUGAAUUUAAAUUGGGUAGUAUUUUUAGGGGUUUUUUGCAUAUUUAUUACAUAAUUUUACAAAGUUAAUUUUUCAAAUGGGAAACAUACAUUUAUAUUUUUAAGAAUAUAUUCAGACCAAUGGCAUGUGUUUGUAUAGUAGAUGAAGUACGAGAUUUUAAAAUUUAGGGAGACAUUCUUUGACCUUCCCAGAUUAUACAGAUUGGUUUUCACUACUGAGUCAUUUCAUUUAUGUAUUAUCAGUGUUUUCUGCAUAUAUGGUGGAGGACUGACUUAGUGGCUCCUUUUCUCCCACAGCCAUAGAACAAUGCUUCCAGGCUGAGGUCAUUGGAAGGGUAAUGGUGGCAAGUUUCUGCCACAGCUUGUACCCACCCUGUGAAUAAAAAGAAAACUUCAAUGUUUCUAUUUGGAGAGACAGUGGCCAUGGUAGUGUUAUUUAAUCUUCUCCUUGUAAUGUUGGUUACCUAACUAGGACAUGCAAUGUCUAUCCUCUGAUCACUUCUAACUAUAUCACAAAAAGGCAAAGGUAUGUUUUGCAUUUCUAACUUCCAUGAGGUAGUAGAACAAAAUCCCAUGCUGAAAUAUUCUGCAGGUCAUUUUAUGGCCCAGUUUCCAGGUAUGUUUUUUAUUAAAUGGUCACAAUGUUUUUUUUUGUUUUACCCAAUCCUUUAAUAUAUCAUAGGGUAGCUAUACUUACUAUGUGUAUUAAGACAUACAGUACUAGGAGUCUAUUCUCUAUCAAUGAGUAAAUAUAAAGAUUAUUAACACUGUGAGUUUCACAGAUUAUUUGGAAGAGUUUUAAUCUCCUAUGACAUAACGGGGAACUAUUAAAAAAAACAAACAGUUUCUAGAAUUUCUUGAUCCAUAUGUGUUGUUUUACAUUUGAUGAAAGAGCAAGAGAAUUUCCUUAUAACUUAACCUCAGUGUAGUAGAAUUGUGUUCUACUGUAGUAAAAUUGACAAGUACUUACAUCAUUAUACAUAGCUGCUAUUACAUUAGAUGAAUGUCAGUGUCAGGUAAGAUCAUGGUUUUGUCAAUAUAAUGAAAAUACCAGUCAAACUAGAAAAAGUCACAAUUUUCCAGCUCUAAAAAUUGAUUUUUAUUGCUCUUCUUGUAAUCCUUUCUUUGGAUUAAAUAUUUAUUAUUGA